AACGAACGCUGGCGGCGUGCCUAACACAUGCAAGUCGAACGCGAAAGGGGGCAACCCCCGGUAGCGUGGCAGACGGGUGAGUAACACGUGGGCAACCUACCCGGAGGUGGGGGAUAACCCUUCGAAAGGAGGGCUAAUACCGCAUGACCCCGCGAGGAUCUCGGUCCUCGCGAUCAAAGCCGGCCUCGGUUUACAAGCUAGCGCCACCGGCUGGGCCCGCGCCCCAUCAGCUAGUUGGUGAGGGAACGGCUCACCAAGGCGACGAUGGGUAGCCGGCCUGAGAGGGCGAUCGGCCACACUGGAACUGCGACACGGUCCAGACUCCUACGGGAGGCAGCAGUGAGGAAUCUUGCGCAAUGGGCGAAAGCCUGACGCAGCGACGCCGCGUGGAGGAUGAAGGUCUUCGGAUUGUAAACUCCUGUCGAGUGGGACGAAUGCCGAGAGGGUGAAUACCCCUUUCGGUUGACGGUACCGCUGGAGGAAGCCCCGGCUAACUCCGUGCCAGCCGCCGCAGUAACAC
rnacentral:rRNA from 1 species